UUGACCUCGGAUCAGGUAGGAAUACCCGCUGAACUUAAGCAUAUCAAUAAGCGGAGGAAAAGAAACCAACAGGGAUUGCCCCAGUAACGGCGAGUGAAGCGGCAACAGCUCAAAUUUGAAAUCUGGCACUAGCCCGAGUUGUAAUUUGUAGAGGAUGCUUUUGGUGAGGCGCCGCCCGAGUUCCCUGGAACGGGACGCCAUAGAGGGUGAGAGCCCCGUCUGGCUGGCCGCCGAGCCUCUGUAAAGCUCCUUCGACGAGUCGAGUAGUUUGGGAAUGCUGCUCAAAAUGGGAGGUAUAUGUCUUCUAAAGCUAAAUACCGGCCAGAGACCGAUAGCGCACAAGUAGAGUGAUCGAAAGAUGAAAAGCACUUUGAAAAGAGGGUUAAACAGUACGUGAAAUUGUUGAAAGGGAAGCGCUCGUGACCAGACUUGGGCUUGGCGAAUCAUCCAGGGUUCUCCCUGGUGCACUUUGCCUCGCUCAGGCCAGCAUCAGUUCGCCGCGGGGGAUAAAGGCUUCGGGAAUGUGGCUCCUCCGGGAGUGUUAUAGCCCGUUGCGUAAUACCCUGGGGUGGACUGAGGUUCGCGCAUCUGCAA
rnacentral:rRNA from 2 species